GCCGGGCAUGGUGGCAUGCACCUGUAGUCCCAGCUACUUGGGAGGCUGAGGCUGGAGGAUCGCUUGAGCCCAGGAGUUCUGGGCUGCAGUGCGCUAUGCCGAUCGGGUGUCCGCACUAAGUUCGGCAUCAGUAUGGUGACCUCCCGGGAGCGGCGGACCACCAGGUUGCCUAAGGAGGGGUGAGCCGGCCCAGGUCUGAAAAACAGAGUUCUUCAUGUGCUCUGCCUGAGACAACAUCACCCAGGACUUCAAAUCCCACCCCCACCCCAGGGAAGCUCAGCAGUGCCCUCUCCU
rnacentral:SRP_RNA from 1 species